UGAAACUAAAAAGAAACAAGUGAAAUGUUAUUAUUAAUCGAUGGAUCGACACUACAAUCAAUGGGGGGUAGGGGGAGAAGAUCGAAACUAUGUUGCAGCUAAAAGAUAGCCCGACCCAAGGGUGUCUGUGGUGUUCGUAUGUACACGUGAGGUAGAUAAUUAUCUACGAUUUGCAAAGCUAUCGUUAUCGACGUUAUCGGAGCAAAAGCUAUCGCAAUCGACAUUUCGGAGCAAAACAUAUCGAAAAUCGAAUUUGAGCACUUUUUUAAAUGUUUUUUUUUUGUUCUAUUUGUGUGGAUUUCUUCUGGAAACUGCGAGAAGAUGGGGAAUUGCAAUUGCAGCCGCGACGUAUGCAAUGUGAUGUGGAUGUUUGUUGGGUUCCUUUUUGAAUUUGUGUACUUUUUUUAAAUUGCGAAUCGGCAUUAAUUAAAUGUUGUUCAAUAGUUUCAUUUA